CCUCUUGAUGAUGAAGAUCUGAUGGGCUACAUCCUUGCCGGCCUUGAUGAGGAAUACAACGGCUUCUCCGGCGCCAUGAACGUGAAGAUCGGGGAGAUGACUCUCUCCGAGUUCUAUUCCCACUUCCUCACUGCGGAGU